rnacentral:rRNA from 1 species
GACGAACGCUGGCGGCGUGCCUAACACAUGCAAGUCGAGCGAGUGGAGUUCUUCGGAACAAAGCUAGCGGCGGACGGGUGAGUAACACGUGGGUAACCUGCCUCAUAGAGUGGAAUAGCCUUCCGAAAGGAAGAUUAAUACCGCAUAAUGUUGAAAGAUGGCAUCAUCAUUCAACCAAAGGAGCAAUCCGCUAUGAGAUGGACCCGCGGCGCAUUAGCUAGUUGGUGGGGUAACGGCCUACCAAGGCGACGAUGCGUAGCCGACCUGAGAGGGUGAUCGGCCACAUUGGGACUGAGACACGGCCCAG